rnacentral:lncRNA from 1 species
UCUUGUUGUUCUUCUUUUCUUUUUUUUUUUUUUUUUUUUUUGGUACUGGGGAUUAAACCUAGGAGUGUUUUGCCACUAAGCUAUUUCCCCAGCCCUUUCUAUUUUUUUCCUUUUGCCCAGGCUGACCUUGAACUUGCAAUCUUCCUGCCUCAGCCUCUGGAGUCGCUGGGAUUACAGGCGUGUGUCACCACACCCAACCACAGUUGUUAUGUUUCUUUCUUAACAUACAUGAAGAUCAACAUGUAUGAUGGAAAAUGAGGAAUAUGAUUUAAAUUCACUCUGUUAUAUAUACUAGGUAACUAAUAAGGUUUUUUCUUUAAAAAAAAGAACUGAAAAUUUUCUUUCGCAGCUAACCAGUCCCUCUAUUUAUAGUCAUUCACAAGACCUUACUAAUUAAGCUUAAUUAGCAUGUAGCACAAUUUAUGCCUAUCAUUAAAUAUGUGACAAAUGAGAAAAUGUGAGAAAGUGUUAUGUAAAUUAUAAACCUUUUUUUGUGUCAGGUUAACUUUGCAGUGAGUUUGUUUUACAAUUACAAACCCCCCCCCAAUUUUAUGUCUUUGUAGACUUGCUAUAAUUCAUAGUGGCAUACUUGUGACUUUUAAGGCACUAUCAAGAACUUUGUUCCUAAAUGAAUUUUGAAAGAAAAAUCACUAAGUUCUG